UACGUAGGGGGCAAGCGUUGUCCGGAUUUAUUGGGCGUAAAGAGCGUGUAGGCGGCCUGACAAGUCUGCUGUGAAAACUCGAGGCUCAACCUCGAGAUGUCGGCGGAAACUGUCUGGCUAGAGUCCGGAAGAGGAGAGUGGAAUUCCUGGUGUAGCGGUGAAAUGCGCAGAUAUCAGGAGGAACACCGGUGGCGAAGGGCGGGUCUCUGGGCCGAUAUUGACGCUGAGGAGCGAAAGCGUGGGGAGCGAACAGG
rnacentral:rRNA from 1 species